AUACGGAGGAUCCGAGCGUUAUCCGGAUUUAUUGGGUUUCAAGGGUGCGCAGGCGGCCAUUUAAGUCAGCGGUUAAAUCGUGGGGCUCAACCCCAUUCUGCCGUUGAUACUGGGUGGCUUGAUUGCGGUCGAGGUUGGCGGAAUUCGUUGUGUAGCGGUGAAAUGCAUAGAUAUGACGAAGAACACCGAUUGCGUAGGCAGCUGACCAGACCGCAAAUGACGCUCAUGCACGAAAGUGCGGGGAUCGAACAGGAUUAGAUACCCUGGUAGUCCGCACAGUAAACGAUGAAUACUUGUUUUCGGCGAUAUAAUGUCGGAGGCAAAGCGAAAGCGAUAAGUAUUCCACCUGGGGAGUACGCCGGCAACGGUGAAACUCAAAGGAAUUGACGGGG
rnacentral:rRNA from 1 species